rnacentral:tRNA from 1 species
GGAGUUGUGGCUCAGUGGUACAGUGCUUGCCUGGCAUGCAUGAGACUCUGGGUUCAAUCCUCAGCGCCG